GCGAACGCUGGCUGCAGGCCUAACACAUGCAAGUCGAGCGCCCAGCAAUGGGAGCGGCAGACGGGAUAGUAACACGUGGGAACGUACCUUUCAGUUCGGAACAACCAAGGGAAACUUUGGCUAAUACCGAAUACGCCCGUAAGGGGAAAGAUUUAUCGCUGAAAGAUCGGCCCGCGUCUGAUUAGCUAGUUGGUGAGGUAAUGGCUCACCAAGGCGACGAUCAGUAGCUGGUCUGAGAGGAUGAUCAGCAUCACUGGGACUGAGACACGGCCCAGACUCCUACGGGAGGCAGCAGUGGGGAAUAUUGGACAAUGGGCGCAAGCCUGAUCCAGCAAUGCCGCGUGAGUGAUGAAGGCCUUAGGGUUGUAAAGCUCUUUCGCACGCGACGAUGAUGACGGUAGCGUGAGAAGAAGCCCCGGCUAACUUCGU
rnacentral:rRNA from 1 species